GGCAGUCCUGCGGGGUGUGCGUUGGGGUGGACCCAGCCGAGGUGGAGCGUAUGGGCAUGGGCAUGGAGCAGCCCGCGCCGUGACUUGGAGAAGAAUGAGGGGAGCCGCCAGACUGCGACUGCAACAGAUGAAAAAAAACAACAUUUGUGGUUGCGGCAGAAACGGUACCUGAGGAGCCGCAGUUCGGUCAGAAGCGUGGGAUUCUGCUGGGCUUUUUCUGGCGUCGGCUGUGAGGCCUGUUCAUGCUCCAAACGCAGCCUCUGGAUCUCCUGCAGGAUCUCCCUGGAUGCACCGGACAGCAGCGGUGAAAGAUAUUGGCGAAACCCGGCCGCGGAGCACUCCAGCGCCUGUGGUCCGUGCGAAUGAUAAUUCUCCGUGACAUCCCGGCUCACCAGUGACUGUGGGCUAAUGACACCGACUGAGCCGCCAAGGAACCACUUAAUGAUGACGAACUCGGGGGCACGUUACGGGCCGUCCCUGCGAGGGCCCUCGGUCCGAGCGCGUCUGGAUCAUUCACACGGUGCGUUUACUGACUGCGGAGGUUUGGGGAGAUCUGCAGAUCAGCAGAGCACGACCUUAGGAGUCAAUGUUCUGCGUUCAGAGAAUAGUUUUUAUUUGCUUCUAUGUUGUGACAGAGCCUCUCUCUCCACUCGCAAACUUACAGCUCUGACUCGUGCUGAGUGUGUUGAGUCACAGGCUAAGGUCUUUAAAGUGGCCCUUCCACUGAAACUACAGAUAUUAUGAUCAUGAUUAUGUCUUCACUAAAGGUUUAACUUCAAUAACCUCAAGAUUUAUUCUCAAAUACCGGUUAAUUCAACACAACAGGCCCAUAUAUACGGUGUACAUUGAAUCAAAAAGAAGAGAAUAUCAGAAACACUUGAUUUUCUGGAGCAGCUGAAUCAUCUUCAAGUCUCAUUAUGACCACUCAUCUCACAACCAGCAGAUAUGGCUGCAAUUCAAGACGGCAAUGAAUCGCUAUGUCCUAAAUCAAGCUGUCGUUCUAAUGCUCGUAGCUCAGUGGGAAAAUCAUGACAGUAACCCGUCACAUGUACGGGCGCACAAACCCAGUCUCUGUGUUUAUUAAAAGGGGGAAAUAGAACUUAACCCAGGCUGUACAUUUACGUGGUGAUAAGUCGCUUCUAAUGCCGAGCUUUUGGAGGAAAGCGUUUGCUUUGCAGUGGGAGACCCGGCAGGCACAUGUCAGCAAAAUAACACAAUGCUUCAUUGUAAAUAUUGAGCUCAUGAAGUAACUGGUGAAAUUCAUGAGCAGGCAGGCUUUUUGCAUUGGACCAAAAAAAAUGUAAGCGUUGCCUGCUGGCGGAAAAUGACUGGUUUAAUAGCUAAGUUGACGGUGUAAGAUGUGGAAACAAGUUUUUAAUAAUUCAUGACAAAAUGAAUUCUCAGACCAGAGAACAUUGAGAUCACUAUCAGUGAGAUCACUGUGGUAAAGCCCUGGGUUGAUGGGAAUUUUUUUUUAUUUUAUUUUAUAUAUUUUUUUUUAUUUUUUCCUAACCAUAGCUUCAUAAUAUUUCGGAUGUCGGAGGUUUGUGAUGGAGUCAGACUUGUGUGUAGAAUUCAUCACAGGCAUUUAAAGGUGCAUUUUAAUGUAACCGCACCUUCAGCUUCGAGGUAAUGACAACAUCCUUUGACGCGAGUCAACAUAAGGACUGGGUUACUGCAGUAUCUCCCCGCCGCUGAUAUCAUUCACUUCUUCGUUUCUAGGAGCCUUAAUUCUCUCACUGAGCACCACUGCAACACUUAAAAAAUCACUUCUGGAGCGACGGAAGAGCACAAACGCAGCCACAUCGCUGAUUUAACUGCAUAUUUACCUUAUUUCCGCAAUGGGAAUAGUGUGUCGUGAUGCCCAUAAAUUAUUAUUUCAUUUUUUUUUUUUUUUUUUUUUCCCCUUCCUAGUUAACACACAAUGGCAGUCCUGUAUCUUUUCAAAUCUCACUGGUGUGUCGAAGAGAGACACAUCACUGGCCUUUUACGGGGGGAAAAAUCACGCAGGUUGCGUUUGGAGCAUCAUCAUCAUCAUCAUCAUCGGCAGCAGCAGCAGCAGCAGCAGUAGCAACAUCAGAUUGGGAGGAUAAGUGGUACAGGGUGAAUAUUUCCUCCGUGAUUCACAGCCCCGC